rnacentral:rRNA from 1 species
AUUGAACGCUGGCGGCAGGCCUAACACAUGCAAGUCGAACGAGUGGCGGACGGGUGAGUAAUGUCUGGGAAACUGCCUGAUGGAGGGGGAUAACUACUGGAAACGGUAGCUAAUACCGCAUACCAUCAGAUGUGCCCAGAUGGGAUUAGCUAGUUGGUGGGGUAACGGCUCACCAAGGCGACGAUCCCUAGCUGGUCUGAGAGGAUGACCAGACACACGGGAACGGAGACACGGUCCAGACUCUUAAGGGAGGCAGCAGUGGGGAAUAUUGCACAAUGGGCGCAAGCCGGAUGCAGCAAGGCCGCGUGUAUGAAGAAGGCCUUCGGGUUGUAAAGUAAUUUCAGCGGGGAGGCGUUACCCGAAGAAGAAGCACCGGCUAACUCCGUGCCAGCAGCCGCGGUAAUAC